rnacentral:rRNA from 1 species
ACAGGUGGUGCAUGGUUGUUGUCAGCUCGUGUCGUGAGAUGUUGGGUUAAGUCCCGCAACGAGCGCAACCCUCGUUCUAUGUUGCCAGCAGGUUAUGGUGGGGACUCAUAGGAGACUGCCGGGGUCAACUCGGAGGAAGGUGGGGAAGACGUCAAAUCAUCAUGCCCCUUAUGUCCUGGGCUUCACCCAUGCUACAAUGGCCGGUACAAAGGGCUGCGAUACCGUAAGGUGGAGCGAAUCCCAAAAAGCCGGUUUCCAGUUCGGANUGAGCGUGUUGCAACUCUGAGCCUCAUGAAGUUGGAGUACGCCUAGUAAUACGCAGAUCAGCAAACGUNGCGG